rnacentral:lncRNA from 1 species
UACUUUGGGGUCAAGUUUGAGGCAGUUGUAACUGUACUGAGUUUAGUUUUGCUAAUAAUGGUAUUCUACGUGUGUCAGCCUCGUGUGGACUUCUGUAAUGACUAAUGGAUAUGUUUAUAUCCUGAGCAUUUGCUGUAGGAAUUUUAAAUGCAAUCCCAAAACUCAAGAUUACCUUAUUUGGAGAAAUAUUCGUGUUACUAUGUUUAAAAUUUAAUAGAACCAUAUUUUACCUUUCACUUUGGGACUCGCACAGGAUGUUUGCAGCUCUUGAUAUACAGGAACUAGAACGUGUCUUUUAAGAGCAUGCGGUUUUAUAAUUACGUGGAAGUAUGCUACGCAAGGGAAAAAAGCCUCUUGCUAGUGUUAAGGGUCUUCAUAAACAGAAACCGCAAGGAACCUGGGAUCUGACAGCUGUUGGAGGAAUGCCUGUGAGGAAGGAGGAGGAACAGAAGUUAUGUUCACCUUGUCUCUGCCUCAGCUUCCUGGUGCAACUGUAGCCAGAAGAGGAGAGAGAAGAGGACAUUGGAGUGCACGAGAAGAAUAUAUUAUAAAAGAAUAUUGCUUGAUUAAAAAGCAUUUUU